rnacentral:rRNA from 1 species
UACAGAGGUCUCAAGCGUUGUUCGGAUUCAUUGGGCGUAAAGGGUGCGUAGGCGGCGCGGUAAGUCGGGUGUGAAAUCUCGGAGCUUAACUCCGAAACUGCAUUCGAUACUGCCGUGCUUGAGGACUGGAGAGGAGACUGGAAUUUACGGUGUAGCGGUGAAAUGCCUAGAUAUCGUAAGGAAGACCAGUGGCGAAGGCGGGUCUCUGGACAGUUCCUGACGCUGAGGCACGAAGGUCAGGGGAGCAAACGGG